GAUGAACGCUGGCGGCGUGCCUAAUACAUGCAAGUCGAGCGAACGGACGAGAAGCUUGCUUCUCUGAUGUUAGCGGCGGACGGGUGAGUAACACGUGGAUAACCUACCUAUAAGACUGGGAUAACUUCGGGAAACCGUAGCUAAUACCGGAUAAUAUUUUGAACCGUAUGGUUCAAAAGUGAAAGACGGUCUUGCUGUCACUUAUAGAUGGAUCCGCGCUGCAUUAGCUAGUUGGUAAGGUAACGGCUUACCAAGGCAACGAUGCAUAGCCGACCUGAGAGGGUGAUCGGCCACACUGGAACUGGGACGCGGUCCAGACUCCUACGGGAGGCAGCAGUAGGGAAUCUUCCGCAAUAGGCGAAAGCCUGACGGAGCGACGCCGCGUGAGUGAUGAAGGUCUUCGGAUCGUAAAACUCUGUUAUUAGGGAAGAACAUAUGUGUAAGUAACUGUGCACAUCUUGACGGUACCUAAUCAGAAAGCCACGGCUAACUACGUG
rnacentral:rRNA from 1 species